rnacentral:rRNA from 1 species
UAUAUAGGGUGUAAGCGUUAAUCGGAAUUACUGGGCGUAAAGGGUGCGCAGGCGGUACUGUAAGUCAGAUGUGAAAUCCCCGGGCUUAACCUGGGAAUUGCGUUUGAAACUGCAGAUCUAGAGUGCGGCAGAGGGAGGUGGAAUUCCAUGUGUAGCAGUGAAAUGCGUAGAGAUAUGGAAGAACAUCGAUGGCGAGGGCAACCUCCUGGGCUAGCACUGACGAUCAUGCACGAAAGCGUGGGGAGCAAACAGGAUUAGAUACCCUGGUAGUCCACGCCCUAAACUAUGUCAACUAGUUGUCGGGCCUUAUUGGGCUUGGUAACGUAGCUAACGCGUGAAGUUGACCGCCUGGGGAGUACGGUCGCAAGAUUAAAACUCAAAGGAAUUGACGG